GUUUCGUUCAACUAGCAAAUUAAAUGCUUGACAUUUUGGAUGCUACAAUAGGCAGCUUCAUGUCACACUAUGUUCAGUGUUGCCAACACUGCGCGCAAACUCAAAGGCUGUGAGAACUUUGCAACCGCUCGCGGGGAAGGAGUUUCCAUCGAAAGCUACUAGCGAGGUUGUGUGAUGUUUUGGGUUUGGAAAUUUACCAACAUAAAUUUUAGCUACGACAGCAAAUGAGUUGGUCAACACCUAGUCAUUGCAUACAAUUGCAGUGCCUUCAAAUGAGAGGAGGAAGAAACAAAUAAGGCGAGUGAAGGAGGCAGCUAGAGGCAGCGGUCGCCAAGACAGCAGUUCACCGGUCCCAAGUCUUCAGACCCAGGUUGAACGUGCCAGGAGAGGUUUGUACGUGUCGUGUUCCUUCUGAUGACAUCAUUAUCUGCUGCAAAUCUAUUUUCGCAUUCAGCCUUGUGUCCCGUUCUCCAUGGUGACCGGCAUGCUUUCUGGUGCAGCGUCACACGGGCCUGGCGUCCUCGCGGCCACUCGAACCCGCCGCACGACACCGGGCGCGGGACCCGCAAGCGGCGUAAGCGCGGGAGGAACUCUGCGGAGAACGUGCGCUCAGCUUGAUUCCGUCUUUCGCCAUUACUUCCUGUCGCAGAUCCAGCGUGCGGUGUGUGUGUGUGUGAUGUGGGUGCAUGGCUUAGACCAGGACUGAGCUGC